GACGAACGCUGGCGGCGUGCUUAACACAUGCAAGUCGAGCGGUAAGGCCCUUUCGGGGGUACACGAGCGGCGAACGGGUGAGUAACACGUGGGUGACCUGCCCUCAGCUCUGGGAUAAGCCUGGGAAACCGGGUCUAAUACCGGAUAUGACUCCAUGACGCAUGUUGUGGGGUGGAAAGCCUUGUGCGGCUGAGGAUGGGCCCGCGGCCUAUCAGCUUGUUGGUGGGGUAACGGCCUACCAAGGCGACGAUCGGUAGCUGGUCUGAGAGGAUGGUCAGCCACACGGGGACUGAGAUACGGCCCCGACUCCUACGGGAGGCAGCAGCUAAGAAUCUUGCGCAAUGGGCGAAAGCCUGACGCAGCAACGCCGCGUGGGGACGAAGGCCCUCGGUCGUAAACCCCUUUUGCGAGGGAAGAAGUUCUGACGGUACCUCGCGAAUAAGCCACGGCUAACUACGUGCCAGCCGCCGCGGUAA
rnacentral:rRNA from 1 species